AACUUUCAACAACGGAUCUCUUGGUUCCCACAUCGAUGAAGAACGCAGCGAAAUGCGAUAAGUAAUGUGAAUUGCAGAAUUCAGUGAAUCAUCGAAUCUUUGAACGCACAUUGCGCCCCCUGGUAUUCCGGGGGGCAUGCCUGUUCGAGCGUCAUA
rnacentral:rRNA from 35 species